rnacentral:lncRNA from 1 species
AUGGAUAUGACAAAGUUUUAAUUUUAAAAUCUGUUUUGACCAGCGUUAGCACCUGAAAGGGUGCCCCUACACUUGAUGCCACCUCCAAAAGAUUGUACAUGAUUAUGCCGGGCUAGAAUUAAGGCUAAAAGUCAAAAGUCAGGUCCCCAGUCCCCGUUAGAAUCCCUGUGAAACUCCAGGCUGCAGCGACCCUGGGCUCGUUUCCCAGGGACCCUUGGAAAUCUUUAAGUGCUACGGCAUGUCGGAGGACACUGGCCUCAAGCUUGCUUCUCACAUGGAGAGACUGACUACAGAGGUAGAUGAGAUUCCAGGUCCACCCAGCAGCAGAGAGGCAGGCUCUGUUGAGCGCCAGGGACAGGCCCCAGAGCAAAGCCCACUUGUAUCGAAGCCAAGGUGAGGGGCAGACUUGAAGCACCACGUCCCUAAGACAGAAAGGACAACUGCUAGUCUAUGCCUGUGACAUUGGCUCCUCAUCCAGCAGGGCCGCUCUGGUUCUCCAUGCUGACUCCCACUGGUCCUUAUGAAGGUGAUAUAGACCCACCCCAUCGUGUCUCAACAGGACUGCUGACCAUCAGCCACACAACAUCUUCUCAAGUGACUCCAGUGCCUUCAGUGGUCUUGCCCACAGCUGCUCAGCAGCAGGAGUCCAGCCUGCCAUUCGGGCUUGCUUCCCUGGCAAUCAGCUCAGAUGUCAUGCCUUCUCAGAGCAUUACAGGUCAAGCCACAGAUUCAUGGUCACACCAGCUUAAGAGAAGACACAUGCUCAUUUUUGUUUUAGGAUAUACAGAAAUAUGUGGCUCUCUAAAGUUAAUGAAUUUCUCUGAAUUGUGUACAAUGGUUUGGUAUCUCUGAAAAAAGUAUGAAAAAAAUUCUUGUCCAUCUUUAGCUUACAGAUAUGCAUGAAACUGUGCUAUUCUCCUGGGUGCAUGUCAGGAUGCAGCAGCCCUGGCAGCAUGGUUAUCAGGGGACAGAGAACUGAAUGCCACCCCGAGAAUCUUGGGUGUUUUUGGUGAAUUCUAUGCUGUAGGCUGCCUGACUCUUCCAGAGCCUGUGAAGAACUGAGGAGACAUGAACACUCCUACAGUUAAGUCUGAUUCAACACUGAGUUAGAGGAGGGACACCACUGAACACUGAGGUGUAGCUGUGAGAGCGUAUGCAACAGGAAGAAAACUACAGCAGCGCUGCUGUGGUUAGUCUAACUGGCUACGCCAGGAGAGGUGUUCUAUGGCGCUUGGGAGUGAGACGUGACAAGGUCAAGGGCAGCUGAUCUUGGGUGGCCUUGGGCAUCCAGAUGGCAUGAAAGGCAAAUGCGCCGUGAGAACCCAUACACAGGACUCCGUAUCACCAGAGGAAAGACGGACACUAGCUUCCCACUUACAUCAAACAAGUACAGUAUCAGAAAUACACGUUGGUUAAAACCCUGCUAACACAGCACGAACAGAAACACCUCACUGUCACUCCUACAAGUACACACUCCAUUACAACUUUAGUUCUUAAAACAAACAGAAAAGUUACUAAAAACACCUAUGCCAUAGAGAUGUAUUCGAAAGUCUAUACACCUGUUAGUCCAAGGGCAUAUUUCCCUGGACUCAGUGUGAGCACCAUCAGAGGGCAGUGCCUGUGACUGCAACUCAGAUACAAAUAAAAACUCCACAGGACUUUCAGAGGCCUGGGACUAGCUCAGGAUACACUUUAAGCAUCUGUGCCAGACAUGCUUGUCCUCCAGGGCCUUUUUUUUUUUUUUCCAGAUAGCACCAAGUCACCUGGUUACACACAGUAUGUUCUGCAUUGCUGUACAGGGAUGGAAUACUCCCAUCACAGGAUACAGGACAUUUAAUUAAAUGCUUCACAGAGCUUUAAAAUAGUGUUAAAAUGUUUUCUGCACUUUCAUUUUUAAAUUUGAUAUUCUUAACAACAAUGACAACCUACUUUAGGACUGCAUUCCUCCACCCUAAGAAAUGUGCAGGGUAAGUGCUACACCUAACAGUUCUCUGCUUACUCUUGGCUGAAAUUCAUGAGAGCCACUGGACAGUGAGACCGAGUCCAGUGACAAGAGCUGCCUGCCUACAGCGGUUUUAGUUUCAGUGCAGACUGGCCUGUGCGCUGUGGCGAGAAGCGAUCAGAGCAGGGUGCUGGGGAGGUUGCUGCUCUGCCAGCGCAGGCAGGUCGUUUUCGAGUGUUUAUAUAGGUGGCUGGACUGACUGAACCGUUUGCCACACUUGAGGCAGGCGUACGGCUUUUCUCCUGUGUGGACCCGGAUGUGUUUCUUGCAAUCCGUCAGAGUCAGGAAGGUUUUACAGCAGAUUUUGCAGGCAUACUUUCGAGCUCCCUCCACAACCAAGACAUUGUGCUCCGAUAAGGCCUUCUUGCACUUUGACAAGACAUCAGCAGAUGCCCUGGUCAACUGAGGAGGGCCAGGCUGGGAGGUGUGGCCAUUUUCAAAUGAGGUGGCCCCGUUCAUCAUUAGCUGGGAACUGGCUGAAUUUUCAGAGAUCUGCGAGCUCCUGACAGAAGUUACCACUGGCAUUUUUGGAGCUAUUCGUCGGUAAUAUGGAAAGUUACUGGCCCCUCCUCGUGGGGAACCCAUCAUGGCCCUGGAGAAGGAUGAGUGGAGACCCAAGCCAGACCUGGAAAAAUCCAUCCCGAAUUGUUCUCCUUGGUAGCCUGAGGUCUGCACACAGGGCAGGCCCAUCACCUCCUGCAUAGGUCUGACGAAGUGGGAGUCUGCAGGCUCACUGAACGGGUUCUCUACAUGGGAACCAGGGGCAGAGGAAGGCCCACCUGCUGGCCCAGCCUCUGGACUCAACAGAUAAGGGGCCUCGCCCUCGAGCCUACAGUCACUGGUGGUGUUUGGGAGGUUGUCGUCAGUGCUCUGACUUGCACUGAAAUUACUCCCCCUGCUCUUGUUGAGAAAAUUGGAAAUACUAAAAGAGGUCUUAUGUUCUAGAUUAUUCGUGACUUCCAAGAUGUGGAUGUCCCCGACCCUGUCGGUGCUGGACUGGGGAUCGGAAAAGCUCCGGUCACUGCUUUCAGGGCUGAGGUCUAUCUUCUCGGCACUGACCACCACUCCUUCCACCUCCACAGACUCACUGCCCUCUGCUUGGGAGGUCACGUCGCUCACUUCAUCCUGCGGCUCGGGAGAGCUCAGGGGCUCAGACUUCACCACCACUCUCAUGUGCUCCUUCUCCCCGAGGCCAACCUCAGGAUUUUCACACUGGAAACUGCCUUUCUCAGCCACGGCCUCUUGUUCAAAACUCGUUUCAACCUGAGUUGCACGAGAGGCCAUGUUGCCAGCACUGCCAUCUGACUGGCUGGGCACUUGAGCAUCUUCUUGGGCACCAAAAGGCCGAUCAAACAUCAUGGCACCGUCUUCCUGGUUGUCAGCCAUCCCAUCGGGUUUAGGAUUAUCCACAAUUUUCAGAGAAUCCGGUGAGAAGAAUUCCUCCCGGGAAUGAACUCCCGCAGGCCCGCUCUCUGGAGUAACAUCUGAAAUGGCAGAUUCCUCCAUGGAGGAUCGCAGGCGCUGCCGGGCCCGCUCCUCUACAGACUGUUUGCGCUUGUGAAGGCGUCUCAUGGGGAAGGGUGUCCGCUGGUCCAGGCUGCUGCGCAUGGAUGAGCUCAUAGGGGCUGUCGGCUCCUCGGCACUCUGGCUGGAACUGAGGGCUGAGCUCACAAUGCUGAGUCCCAGCUGCUGCAGCAUAAAAGAGCGCUGCAUGCGGGCACUCUGCUCCUGAGCACGCUCACUAGAGGGAGACAUGGGGAGCGUCCUUGUCGUCAGGCAUACAUACAGGCAGGCCACUGUGUACAUGAGCUGCAAGG